GACGAACGCUGGCGGCGUGCCUAACACAUGCAAGUCGAGCGAAGUGAGUACUACGGUACGAACUUAGCGGCGGACGGGUGAGUAACGCGUGGACAAUCUACCCUGUAGACUGGGAUAACGCCUCGAAAGGGGUGCUAAUACCGGAUAAUGUCGAGAAGCGGCAUCGCUUUUCGAAGAAAGGAGAGAAUCCGCUAUAGGAGGAGUCCGCGUCCCAUUAGCUAGUUGGUGAGGGUAACGGCCCACCAAGGCGACGAUGGGUAGCCGGCCUGAGAGGGUGAACGGCCACACUGGAACUGAGACACGGUCCAGACUCCUACGGGAGGCAGCAGUGGGGAAUAUUGUGCAAUGGGGGAAACCCUGACACAGCAACGCCGCGUGAGCGAAGUAGGCCUUCGGGUUGUAAAGCUCAAUAGUAUGGGAAGAUAAUGACGGUACCAUACGAAAGCCCCGGCUAACUACGUGCCAGCCGCCGCCGUAAAAC
rnacentral:rRNA from 1 species